AAUGAACGCUGGCGGCAGGCCUAAAACAUGCAAGUCGAACGCCCUAGCAAUAGGGAGUGGCGCACGGGUGAGUAACAUGUGGGAAUAUGCCUUUUGGUACGGAACAACGUUUGGAAACGAACGCUAAUACCGUAUGGUCCCUCCGGGGUAAAGAUUUAUCGCCAAAAGAUUAGCCCGCACUAGAUUAGCUAGUUGGUAAGGUAAUGGCUUACCAAGGCGACGAUCUAUAGCUGUUCUGAGAGGAAGAUCAGCCACACUGGGACUGAGACACGGCCCAGACUCCUACGGGAGGCAGCAGUUAGGAAUAUUGGACAAUGGGCGCAAGCCUGAUCCAGCCAUGCCGCGUGAGUGAUGAAGGCCUUCGGGUUGUAAAGCUCUUUAGCCGACGAAUAUAAUGACUGUAGUCGGAGAAUAAGCCCCGGCUAACUUCGUGCCAGCAGCCGCCGUAAUAC
rnacentral:rRNA from 1 species